ensembl:lncRNA
AACUUAAGCACUUACGAUAAUGUAAAAUUAAUGUUGCAAAAUAAAAACUGGGUUAAAAAAAAUUAAUAAUAGGUAAUGGAAGCACGUUUUGAACAUAUGAGAAUGUGUUAGUUAUAACAAACACUUGGCGCCCCCAUGUGGUCAUCUGAGAGAGCCGGUGCUGCACCUGUCCCGUUAUGAUUGUGUUGAAAUAAACACUAUUAUAUUUACAUUAUGGACCAGUCUCUAAAAAUCUACAAAGCACUUAAGUCCCAGAAUGUUAUGCUUGAGAGCCGCUGUGCGUUCUUAGGGCCACAGAUCUUCUCAAAACAGUGUUAACCUCUUUUUCAAAUUGAUGAAGAAGUUCAAAGUCGCAGAAUCCUCUGUACAGUAACCCGGUAGCCAGUGUUUUCAUAGCCUCCUUCAUUUGCCACAGUGAAGGUACAGUGACCGUGUGUAAAUCACCGUUGAGCUCAGCCGAGACCACCGUCGGUUCGAGUUUCGGGAUGUCCAGAUCCGUUAGUGCGUCACUUUCAUCGCUGGACUGCUCCGUUACGCUCUCGUCAGAUUGUUGGGUAACUUGAUCAGACGCACUUCUGUCCUCAGUUUGGUCGCUUUGUGGAUUUUCUAAAUACUGUUCGAACUCGAGCAUCUCUCGUACAACUUUCUCACGGGUUUUAAAUCGGUUGAGCCAGUCUGCGUUUGCUCGAAAGUUCCCGAACCCCAUCAUCCUAGCCAACCGAGUCGCUUCUGAACGAAUCAUUUGAUCUGUAAUAACACCGUUCUCUCGAGAAUGAUCGAUCCAUCUCCAAAGCGCGGCUUCAAGUUGUCGAGUCUUUGUAGAUGUGAAAUCCAUCCUUGGUACCAGUUGUGCUACCGUCUUAUUAUUAGAAGAUCGAUUAUUUGGGCCGAUCCGGAACAUCGCUCGUACGAUUCCCUCUCGUGUUUUAAAGCGGGUGAACCAGUCCGUGUUCGCUCUGAAGUUACGGUAACCCACAGUCCUGGCCAACCGAGCCGCUUUUGAACGAACCGUCGAUUCAUCCACGCGGAUGCCGCUCUCACGAGAAUGAUCGAUCCACCGCCACAGUGCGGCUUCGAUGCGAUGCGUCUUUUUGGCUGUAAGUUUGCUUUUAGUCUCCGCCGCUUUGUUAUCGUUACCGGAUUUGGGCUCUUUUGGCGCGUUUACCGUUUUUCGGUCGACCUGGAACAUCUUUCGUAUCACUGUCUCCCGUGUUUUGAAGCGUGCCAACCACUCUGUGCUCGCCAUGAAAUUACAGAGGCCCAUUUCUGUAGCUAUCAGAGUCGCUUUUUUACGAAUCGUUGAAUCAUCUACUGUAAUUCCGUUCUCAUGAGAAGUAUCGAUCCACCUCCAGAGUGCCGCUUCUAACGUUACUCGAGGCGUCUUGCGAGAUGGAAAGACAGUCCUGGGAAGGUUAGCCUUGGCAUUUUUAAUAUUCCUUCUCCGGAGCCAGAUGCAAAGCAGCGGGCCUGAGAUGUUUAGCAGACGCGCUGCAGCUCUUUGGGACAUUGGAGGGAGCUGGUCAUAUUUCUCGAGUAUACGGUUUCUUUCCUGAAUUGAUCUGCGAAAAUAUUUCCUCGUGGCCAUGUUUUUGUUCUCUCAGAAGCGAUGGAGAUUUGAACUCGGCGAUUCUUUUAAGUUGGACCUUUUCAGUGAAUCAGUUGAAUCGGUUUGGUCAGAAUGGUUCGGACACGAAUCAGACUGAAUCGAGCAGUGCUGAAAUUAAAACCUAAAAUGUUUUUUCAUGCACCUGUCAAGUUUGAAUUUUUUUCCUUUUUUUUUUCUUUUCAUAAAGUGUUUUUUCAUAGUGGAAAGAAAACACCCAAAAAACACUGUUAAGUGUUUCUUAUCUAGCACUUAUUUAUUUGUGUCAACAGAUUUCAAUUACAAUACAUAUUUUUAAAGGCCG